GAGACACCCUUAUGGAGUAGGAUUUGCUUCAGUGGGGCUUUGGUGCUCAUUGAGUCUGCUCCCUAUGUCUGUUUUU
rnacentral:pre_miRNA from 1 species